AAUUCCGGUGAAGAUGCCGGAUACCUGCGACAGGACGGAAAGACCCCAUGGAGCUUUACUGUAGCUUGACAUUGGGUCUUGGUACUACAUGUACAGGAUAGGUGGGAGGCUUUGAAACCAGGACGCCAGUUUUGGCGGAGCCAUCCUUGGGAUACCACCCUUGUAGUACUGGGACUCUAACCAUAGGCCAUGAAUCUGGUCUUGGGACACUGUCAGGUGGGCAGGUUGACUGGGGCGGUCGCCUCCCAAAAGGUAACGGAGGCGCUCAAAGGUUCUCUCAGUACGGUCGGAAAUCGUACGUAGAGUGUAAAGGCAAAAGAGAGC
rnacentral:rRNA from 1 species